GGUUCCAUGGUGUAAUGGUUAGCACUCUGGGCUGAAUCCACUGAUCUGAGUUCAAAUCCCUGUGGAACUU
rnacentral:tRNA from 1 species